rnacentral:rRNA from 1 species
AACGAACGUUAGCGGCGCGCCUAACACAUGCAAGUCGAACGAGAAAGGGCUUCGGCCCCGGUACAGUGGCGCACGGGUGAGUAACACGUAGGUAACCUACCCUCGAGUGGUGGAUAACAUCCCGAAAGGGGUGCUAAUACAGCAUGAGACCACAGUCCUGUGAGGGACAGGGGUCAAAGCGGGCCACUUUAUAAAAGCUCGCGCUUGGGGAUGGGCCUGCGGGGCAUCAGCUAGUUGGUGGGGUAAUGGCCUACCAAGGCGUAGACGCCUAGCUGGUCUGAGAGGAUGAUCAGCCACACUGGAACUGAGACACGGUCCAG